UCAGGUAGUAGUGGGUGUAGCGUACCUACUAGCCUACGACGGGUACGGGUUGUGAGAGCAAGAGCCCGGAGAUGGAUUCUGAGACACGAAUCCAGGCCCUACGGGGUGCAGCAGGCGCGAAAACUUUACAAUGCUGGAAACAGCGAUAAGGGAACCUCGAGUGCCAGGUUACAAAUCUGGCUGUCGUGAUGCCUAAAAAGCAUUGCAUAGCAAGGGCCGGGCAAGACCGGUGCCAGCCGCCGCGGUAACACCGGCGGCCCGAGUGGUAACCGUUAUUAUUGGGUCUAAAGGGUCUGUAGCCGGCCGGAUAAGUCUCUUGGGAAAUCUGGCAGCUUAACUGUCAGGCUUUCAGGAGAUACUGUCUGGCUCGAGGCCGGGAGAGGUGAGAGGUACUUCAGGGGUAGGGGUGAAAUCUUGUAAUCCUUGAAGGACCACCAGUGGCGAAGGCGUCUCACCAGAACGGACCUGACGGCAAGGGACGAAAGCUAGGGGCACGAACCGGAUUAGAUACCCGGGUAGUCCUAGCCGUAAACGAUACUCGCUAGGUGUCGGCCACGGUGCGGCCGUGGUCGGUGCCGUAGGGAAGCCGUGAAGCGAGCCACCUGGGAAGUACGGCCGCAAGGCUGGAACUUAAAGGAAUUGGCGGGGGAGCAC
rnacentral:rRNA from 1 species